rnacentral:lncRNA from 1 species
AAAGUAAGCAAAAUGAAUAAAACCUGAAAGUACAGAAAAACUAGAUGAAAUCAAUUCCUUCUACCUCGUACAUAAAUAACCAUCGUCCUUAGAAAUGAUGACACGAUUCAUUCACUGUGAAAUGUAGUUCGUGCUUUGAUUCUCAAGGACCCCAGUGAUAUUUACACCUUAUAAAAAUCCUUCCUUAGCAUGGAAUUAGAUACUACUGUUUCUAUGUUUAAAGCUAUAUAAGGAUAAAAAGGCAUCUAUGAGGAAUUAACGCUUACAGUUAGCGCAGUAGUG